rnacentral:snRNA from 2 species
AGCCAUGAUAUAAACACAUAGCGAACUAUUCUUUCGCCUUUUACUAAAGAAUACCGUGUGUUUGUCUCGCUAAAUGGCAUACGCCUAUUUUUGGAAGAGUCCUUUUAAUAAAAGGGCU